rnacentral:rRNA from 1 species
UACGUAGGGUGCAAGCGUUAAUCGGAAUUACUGGGCGUAAAGCGUGCGCAGGCGGUUUUGUAAGUCUGACGUGAAAUCCCCGGGCUCAACCUGGGAAUUGCGUUGGAGACUGCAAGGCUGGAGUCUGGCAGAGGGGGGUAGAAUUCCACGUGUAGCAGUGAAAUGCGUAGAGAUGUGGAGGAACACCGAUGGCGAAGGCAGCCCCCUGGGUCAAGACUGACGCUGAGGAGCGAAAGCCAGGGGAGCAAACGGG